GUAGAAUUUGUAUUUACAGAUUUUUGUUUUACAACUACUCCAAUUGUUGAACUUGUUCGAUGGAAAAUAGGCCACAACGGCAACUCGAAGGAGGUGAUUUCUUGGGUGAAAAAUAUUGAUUCGUACUUUAUGGGGUUCCUGAUCUAUCCUAUUUAUGUGUGUUUCUUUAUAGUUUUUUGUUCGAAAUUAUUUAGAGUUCAUGUGAUUCCAUAUUGUUUAUGUGUAGUUAGUGGGUUUUUCAUUUUUUAAAUCUUUUUUAUGGAUUUCUUAUGUGUAGUUCAUGGGUUUGUUCAAGAAAUAAAAAUUGAGUUUUUCUGAGUUCUUAAUCUUGCAUUCUUGUAAACGUAUGGUCCUUCCGGCGAAUGUAUAACCCAAUGGCGACGAACUAUUCUUGUUGGAAUUUCAGCGCUCUACAAUGAUGUGCAGAAUGACGUUCAAGAAAAAGAGCAUGAAGGUUCAAAAGAAGCAUACAUAAUAAAUGUUCAUUUUAUUUUAUUUUUGGGGUAUACAACAUGUUCACAGAUGUGCAGAAUAACGUUCAAGAAAAAGAGCAUGAAGGUUCAAAAGAAGCAUACCUAAUAAAUGUUCAUUUUAUUUUAUUUUUGGGGUAUACAACAUGUUCACAGAUGUGCAGAAUGACGUUCAAGAAAAAGAGCAUGAAGGUUCAAAAGAAGCAUACCUAAUAAAUGUUCAUUUUAUUUUAUUUUGGGGGUAUACAACUUGUUCUAGAUGUAUAUAAGCCGAUGGUAUAUUUCAUUAUGCAAGAAUUUUAUUAUGUAUGGAAUUCUUAUGUCGAUUGCUAUUUCAAAUAUAUAAAUUUACUAUAA